ACACAUGCAAGUCGAGCGGUAACAGGUCCAGCUUGCUGGAUGCUGACGAGCGGCGGACGGGUGAGUAACGCAUAGGAAUCUACCCGGUAGUGGGGGAUAACCUGGGGAAACCCAGGCUAAUACCGCAUACGUCCUACGGGAGAAAGGGGGCUUAGGCUCCCGCUAUUGGAUGAGCCUAUGCCGGAUUAGCUGGUUGGUGAGGUAAUGGCUCACCAAGGCGACGAUCCGUAGCUGGUCUGAGAGGAUGAUCAGCCACAUCGGGACUGAGACACGGCCCGAACUCCUACGGGAGGCAGCAGUGGGGAAUAUUGGACAAUGGGGGCAACCCUGAUCCAGCCAUGCCGCGUGUGUGAAGAAGGCCCUCGGGUUGUAAAGCACUUUCAGCGAGGAAGAACGCCUGUCGGUUAAUACCCGGCAGGAAAGACAUCACUCGCAGAAGAAGCACCGGCUAACUCCGUGCCAGCAGCCGCGGUAAUACGGAGGGUGCAAGCGUUAAUCGGAAUUACUGGGCGUAAAGCGCGCGUAGGUGGCUUGAUAAGCCGGUUGUGAAAGCCCCGGGCUCAACCUGGGAACGGCAUCCGGAACUAUUAGGCUAGAGUGCAGGAGAGGAAGGUAGAAUUCCCGGUGUAGCGGUGAAAUGCGUAGAGAUCGGGAGGAAUACCAGUGGCGAAGGCGGCCUUCUGGACUGACACUGACACUGAGGUGCGAAAGCGUGGGUAGCAAACAGGAUUAGAUACCCUGGUAGUCCACGCCGUAAACGAUGUCGACCAGCCGUUGGGUGCCUAGCGCACUUUGUGGCG
rnacentral:rRNA from 1 species